rnacentral:rRNA from 1 species
UACGUAGGGUGCGAGCGUUAAUCGGAAUUACUGGGCGUAAAGCGUGCGCAGGCGGUUUUGUAAGUCUGUCGUGAAAGCCCCGGGCUCAACCUGGGAAUUGCGAUGGAGACUGCAAGGCUUGAAUCUGGCAGAGGGGGGGUAGAAUUCCACGUGUAGCAGUGAAAUGCGUAGAGAUGUGGAGGAACACCGAUGGCGAAGGC